CCCGUUCAACUACGAAAUUCUUGGGCAGAACGCGCUCACCGAUUGGUUUCGUUAUUAAAUCCCUGUUGUUGAAGGAAUUCUCCCUCGAGCCCCCUUCGAGGUGGUGGGAACCCUUAGUGACAGUUCGGCAGCCGCUGAACUCGCGGGCCACUGUCUUUCCCCUCCUACUCCUCUCGAUCCGUGACAUCCUCUCAAGAUUGGCCUCUGGGGCAGAAGCCCCGACGGGAGAACUCCUCGAAAGGGCUCGAAAGACUGAAGGCGGCGGGGAGCCGACAGUGGAGAUGGCGACGAUCGGUGCAAAGAAUGCUCAGAGUCGAAAAGGACACCGAUGGGGUGGCUAAACUCUCAGGCAGAAGAAAGACGUCGACUCUCAGGCGAAAUGAAGUCCCUGGAGGGAACGAGGGAGCUUAAAUAAGCAACGGGGCCUGGCACAGUUAUGGUGGCGGAUAUCCCCAGGUCAACCAGUGCCCGCUACGCAUCCCACUCACCGUGGCGUAGAGCUGACUGCUGGCGGGACUAUUAUGGUGUGGCGCCUAGGACUACGCUCCGGUGGGAAUUUCGAAAGGACUCUUCGGAUCGCCCUAAUUGGAAAAAGACUCCAGCACGCGCGCAUUGAAUGCCAGGAUUUUCGAGGACGGACGUGCGCAGGAUUCGAGGGGGCAACUUCGGCUGUGAAAAUUUCUCUGUAUUUUCUUCAUUCAAAACUCGAACUCG
rnacentral:lncRNA from 1 species